UACGGAGGGUGCGAGCGUUGUCCGGAAUCAUUGGGCGUAAAGGGCGCGUAGGUGGCGGGACAAGCGUGCGGUGAAAGCUCGGGGCUCAACCCCGAGUCGGCCGUGCGAACUGUUUUGCUUGAGCACUGUAGAGGCAGGCGGAAUUCCGGGUGUAGCGGCGGAAUGCGUAGAGAUCCGGAAGAACACCGGUGGCGAAGGCGGCCUGCUGGGCAGUAGCUGACACUGAGGCGCGACAGCGUGGGGAGCAAACAGG
rnacentral:rRNA from 1 species